CAAAACCUCCCAUCUUGCUCUGAACUCCAGUUCCAGGCAAGACUCUGGGGACCCAGACUCAUAAGGGAGAAACUGAACUGUUUGGCAGUGGGAGAAACUUGAAGGCGGCUUUCUCUCAAAGGUGUUUGCAGCAAUUAGCUGGGUCACUGAG